GGAUAGAUAGACUAUUUGGCAAUUUGCGUCAUGUGCCAGCGCUUGGAUUGCCUAAAGAUGGCGCAGCGGUGACUGCAUGCUAUUUGAGUAUCCCGUUCACACACUCUCCAGUUUCAUCGUAAACAACUGGACAUCUCUCUCUCCAUGCUGUUGCGACAUUCACUGUCGGUGGUCUUGAAAUGGUCGAUUUGCUAUUCCAUAGUGACAUAGGAUCAUUUUAAAGCUUGUUUUAUUAAUUUAUUCGACUCAAAACGAGUUUGUGACUGACAGACAGCGCCAUUCAGACAGAAAACGAGACUGUGGUGCUGUGCGUUGGUCGAAAUAAAUAAAUAACGGGUUUCUCCAUUCUGGCUUCUGGCAGUGGACGCGCGAGAUGCUGCCGCUGCAUUGAUAAGAGUUGGUCGAAGGGAUUCGCACAGAAGUGACGAGGCAGCUUCAGCCAGGGCUUAGGCUGCGGAUAGGAUACCAACCUAGCACUGAUUGUGAUAGACUGAGUGAACGUUGUUUUAUGACAGACAGCAAGAAGAUGCACUGACUGACUAAGGACCGGAAGAGAAAAUGCAUCGUUUGAGAGUCGAAAUAUGAACGCACAUUCCACUUUGGUUUUCUUUUAUUUGCAGGCGUUGAGGCGCAGUGAUAUAUUUCCGUGCAUCUGAGCGGUUUAUGCAACUUUUCCUGGUCCCUUUUCCAUGAUAACGGCAGAACCGGGCUUGAUUUACCGGGAAUAUCACCAGGAUCAUGUGGACCCCGACGGAAGAGGAGAAAAUCGGAGUUGUGAUCUGUACGUUCCGAGGGACCGUGACACAGGGUCUGGCUCUGGAGAUAGGAGAGACAAUUCAGAUACUGGAGAAAUGUGAAGGAUGGUACCGAGGAUUCUCCACCAGAAAGCCCACAGUCAAGG